rnacentral:rRNA from 1 species
GACGAACGCUGGCGGCGUGCCUAAUACAUGCAAGUCGAGCGGACAGAAGGGAGCUUGCUCCCGGACGUUAGCGGCGGACGGGUGAGUAACACGUGGGCAACCUGCCCCUUAGACUGGGAUAACUCCGGGAAACCGGAGCUAAUACCGGAUAAUCCCUUUCUCCACCUGGAGAGAGGGUGAAAGAUGGCUUCGGCUAUCACUAGGGGAUGGGCCCGCGGCGCAUUAGCUAGUUGGUAAGGUAACGGCUUACCAAGGCAACGAUGCGUAGCCGACCUGAGAGGGUGAUCGGCCACACUGGGACUGAGACACGGCCCAGACUCCUACGGGAGGCAGCAGUAGGGAAUCUUCCGCAAUGGACGAAAGUCUGACGGAGCAACGCCGCGUGAGUGAGGAAGGCCUUCGGGUCGUAAAGCUCUGUUGUGAGGGAAGAAGCGGUACCGUUCGAAUAGGGCGGCACCUUGACGGUACCUCACCAGAAAGCCACGGCUAACUACGUGCCAGCAGCCGCCGUAA